UUGAAGACUACCUUCAGAUCUUGGGAGAACGUCGCUCUCAGCUCUCGCUUCCUCAAUGACAGGCUGUGUGAGCCGCACCGAGAACAGCGACGGCACACUGAUUCACAAGGAUCUUUUACAGAAACAAGAGCAGAAAAUGCUUCGCCUCAGAGGAGGUGCUGGAAAUGAACCUGUCUCUGACGAAUCCCCAGCAGAAGAGAACGGAAGCUCCUUUACUUCAGGCUCAUCAUGGCUAUUUGCAUUGACCAUAGUGUUCUCACCAGAGGGACCAUGCACCUGAGAAACCUGCCCUCUCUUCUUUUCACUACAUGCUCACUCAUUAUUAAGAUCUAAAUGAAUCGCUGGAGAAAGGUUAUUACUGUGAUGCAACACCAGAAAGCGGAAGAAUUGAUCAAUCUUCUGGAAUCAGACUUAUUGGUAUUUGGACAAACUAUCCAAAUACCAUGUCCGAUAUGGAAAAUAAAAUGACUGGAAACUGUUGUGGGUAGCCUUUGUCUGGUGCGCUACCAUGUGCAACGAUCUGUAAGUAACGAUUGUUAUCUGUUAUCUUUUAAGAGCACCUCACUUACAGAAGACACCGAUGUAAAGCUGGAUUCUUUCAGCACCAGAACAACAGAAAAAAUCAAAAAUACUUUCUUCUGUUUAGCAUUAGUCACAAUAUAACUUGAGUCUUUGGCAUUUGCAAAAAGUUGGAUAGAAAAUAUAUUUGCUUGAGCUUUUGCCAGUCCGAUUCAUAAAGACCACAUAGCAAUGGGAAAUGUUCUCCCGUGCCUUACCAAACAAAAUAACAAGGUCCAAAGGUGUUGCAUUUCACAAGUCAGUGAAAAGUUUGAAUUAAGAAAUAUAGCAAGGGAGAUGGAAAUAGAUUAGCUAUGCUAGCUUGACUAUGAGAAUCUUAACAUGUAGAUGUGCUGUGGAAUUCACUUUGGUUAGGUUCAGUUUAAAAAAAUUAGGUGACCCACAUGCCAACUCUCUGACAGAUCGUUUGUAGAGCAGGUGUUUAAGUUAGCUAAUCGACCACCGCUGUCCUCAGACGGUUACUGGUUAAUAAUCACAAAAUAAACAUCAAAUCUGAAAACAUAAAACGAUUACAGACUGUUCUGUUCUCUGUGUGAGGUAUGUUUGCAUGUUUUUUGUUUUCGGUAUUGAAUUCUGAUACACUCACAGUGCUGUUGUCAAUCAAUUGCUAUGGCAAUGGGUCAAUAUGUAGCAUGGCCGACACAGAGAGCAAGAAAAGAGGAAUACAUGUGGUUUUAAGUUGUUUUUCAGUGUUUUCCUGCAUUAUUUUCCCUCUGCUGUGGCGCACUGCACUAAAUUAAUAAUACUUACAUCUCCAGGUUUCAUUUUGUUAAUGGAGUUGUUCAAUCGAUGGAUGACAAGUGAAAUAAUCUUCUUGCCCUCCAGCUUUGUGCGGAGGCAUAACAUUUCUGAAUGUAAACAUCAUGCAAAGUGUCUAUAGUGUUUCUGCACAUUUAUUGACUGUAUUCAUACCAGGUUUGACAAGUAGAUAAAGAGAACAAAAGUUCAUGUUACUGAAUUAAAAAUCUCUGAAGUGGUGUCUGACAUACAAACUUUUGUUUCUGAAGUUCUCUUCAAAUGCUAACACCCUUUGAUGCCACUUCUCUUCCUCUUGUGCUAAGAAAGGUAAUUAACCUUGCAGUAAGCAGAUAGGCUCAUCCGGAGGCCAUUUAUCUUGCUCCUUAACGACACCCAGGUUAUCUCAAUGCCUGCCUGCAUUAUCACACUCUUUUUCUGAAAGGCUGGAUAUGCUGUAGGAACUGAGAACGUGGCUACGCAAUAGCAUCAAACUGAGGCAAAACAGCUUUGUUUUUAUGAGUGUUUCUGAGAGUUAUAUAAGUGGAAUUUUACAGUGUUCUUUUGUACUUGGGGACAUCAGUCCAUCAUGUCUCUUUUGUUUAAAGAUACCCACACAUCCCUGUCUUGAGCUCAUUGGAAGUAUAAAAAUAGCUACAAUACUAUUCCAACACCAAUUUGUUAGUACAGUAACAUUUUUCUUACAAGCAAACAUUCAUGGAGUCAGGCACUGACGUUAGACAAGAAGGCUGAUAAUACACACCCAUUCAGCAAUUUAUUGUUGGUUUUGUUUCAGGAACUUCAUCACUUAGUGAAGCAAAUCAUAUAAGGACACACAAAGGGAUGUUUGGAGGACUUUAUUUCCUUGAAUGAUUAUCUGUCAGAUUCUCCUCUGACAGAUAAUAAAAACAUGACAAUUAAAAAUAGAAUAUUACAUCACACCAAAAAAGAAAAUUAAUACAGAAAUGCAGCCUUAAUGAAAGGUAUGCUUAAUAUCUAAUCAAAGGUUGUCAAUUUUCAAAGGAUAAUUCAUUGACUAUGGCAGCAAUAAUAACACAAAUAAUAACAUUACUUGAUCUUAGUCAAUGUUGUGUCCUAUACACAGCAAUAAAGAUGCCUGAUUCUUGAAACUGAAAGUGAGACUGGAGGUAUGACCAAGUUUCUGAUGAAUCUGACUAAAAAUGAUCAGACUAUAAAGUUCACACUCAGAACAUUGAAGUCUAUUUCCCAAGGGUUGAGCAGAUACUUGGAUAUACACUUUACACAUCUCAUCCUGACGCAAUGCAGCACAACUUUGUUCCAUAUAGACAUGCACUAUUCAAACAAAGAAGAGAAAAUGACCCAAAAAAAGACAUAAAUUCUUUGAAUGCAUGACAGAAAAUGAUCUGUUUGAUUUUUGUCUCGUCAGGAACUGCAUAACAAGUGUUUUUCCAUGCAACAGCCUUUAUCAUAAAGUAGGAAAGUGUGUGCAUUUAAAAUGCAACAUACACCAAGAGCUUUUUUUUUUUAAAUCUUUCUCAAAAAAGUAAAAUAUGUCAGUGAGUAGGAGUUCAGCAUUGUGCCCAGGUACGCUGCACACACAGAGGUACCAAGGUAAAUAUAAAGUCUCUCUGAUUUCAAAAUUGUGGUAAAAGAAAUAAUUUUAAAAAACAAGCAACAAUGUAUUUUUCAAACUUGCGUUAGUGUGGGAGGUAUGAGCUGGAGGACGGAUUCAUAAUUAGAAGAAAAAACAAAGCAGCCCAUCCUGAUGCAUUUACAAGCAGACCUUUCCAACAACCCCUCUUUGUUUUAAUGCACUGAAUUAUGUGCUCUCUGGAGCACACAAAUAGAAAUCAAUUAAACUCUAUAUAACUCAUCCAACUCAACAACUCAGAAGCAGUGGGUUUUUUAAUUUUUUUAUUCCAGAAUAACUCGUCUAAUUAGAAGUUUUUGCAGAAGGUUGUCAUACAACAAUUAUUGAAAGAAAAGUUUUAGCAUUUUUCACAGUCUUUCCCCACCAGCAGCAGCUCUAGUUUACUCAUCCUAACAACACGCUAACAAAAGCCGAUUCGAUUUUCCUACUUAUGUUUAGAUUUAGGAGGCUGUUAGAGAGGGAAGCAUCUGCAACCAAAGCAACAUCAGGCCAGAACACUGCUGCCCCUGGCAACGGCCAGACAGCUACUGCAGGAAGAAGCGGCUCCGUUCGUGUACAGAUGUUGACCCGUGACACACUGAAAGCGAAAUAAUCCAGCAUCGUCCGGUGACUGGACUGCCGUGUUUCAAACAGAUAUAUUUUGGUGUUUGAAGGAAAUGUGUGUUCUGCUUCAGGAAACAUUGGGUGGCAUAGAUGAUUAAGAGGAACUCGCCAGAAUACUUUAAAAUCCCAGUUUAUAGAGCAUUCAUUCAUUUCCGUUGAAGUUUUUUGUUGUUUUGUCAUGUUUUGACCACAAAAACGCUAUGUAUCUAUGAAAGGGGUCGCACUAUGUAAAAUCAACAUUUAGAAGAUUAACCUCACUUUAUAAUGUUACUCCCUCAUCAAAAACAUUCUUUUGUGCGUGUUUGGGAAAUCCUUUAAUCUCUUCUCCACUGAGCUGCGAUUUCCAAGCUCCCACCUCACAGAGCAGCCAUUAGCAAAGGCCUCCUGGAACCAGCUGAGCUCAUUAUACAAACUACUCCUCAGUGAAACGCUGGGAAAAGUGUUGCUAAAGGGUUAAUAGA